AUGGCUCAGGACGGACGCUGGCGGCGUGCCUAAUACAUGCAAGUCGAACGGUCUUUCUAUGGAAGCUUGCUUCCACUGAGAAGAUAGUGGCGAACGGGUGAGUAACACGUGGGUAAUCUGCCCAUAAGAGGGGGAUAACAUCCGGAAACGGGUGCUAAUACCGCAUAGUUUUCUUGAUCGCAUGAUCGGGAAAGGAAAGACGGCCUUUGUGCUGUCGCUUAUGGAUGGACCCGCGGCGUAUUAGUUAGUUGGUGAGGUAACGGCUCACCAAGACGAUGAUACGUAGCCGACCUGAGAGGGUGAUCGGCCACAUUGGGACUGAGACACGGCCCAAACUCCUACGGGAGGCAGCAGUAGGGAAUCUUCCGCAAUGGACGAAAGUCUGACGGAGCAACGCCGCGUGAGUGAAAGAAGGUUUUCGGAUCGUAAAACUCUGUUGUCAGAGAAGAACAAGUUGGAGAGUAACUGCUCUAGCCUUGACGGUAUCUGACCAGAAAGCCACGGCUAACUACGUGCCAGCCGCCGC
rnacentral:rRNA from 1 species